rnacentral:rRNA from 1 species
AUGGCGGCGAGGCUCGCGCAGCUGCGGACCAAGGCGGCGCAGGCGGCGGAAUUCGCCUCGAAGCACGGCGGCGCCUACUACAAGGAGGCGAUGGAGAAGAACAAGCAGUACGUCGUGCAGCCUCCCUCCGUGGAGAAGUGCCAGGAGCUCUCCAAGCAGCUCUUCUACACGCGCCUCGCGAGUCUACCAGGCCGCUAUGAAGCAUUGUGGAAAGAGGUUGAUGGUGUCAAGCAGCUUUGGAAGAACAGGAAGGAGCUCAAGGUGGAGGACCUUGGAAUUGCAACACUGUUUGGGGUUGAGCUUUAUGCAUGGUUCUGCGUAGGCGAGAUUGCAGGCAGAGGAUUCACCUUAACCGGCUAUAAGGUCUGA